rnacentral:misc_RNA from 1 species
AGUCCACUUAAGCCCUUUUGCUUAGUAUUGGGAAUCUACUCCUGCAUCGCAGCUGUAGUUCCUCAAAGACAGCGGCGGAGUCGUGGUUUUACUCUGAGCUUAGUAAUUUUUUUCUAGCUUUCGAGUUGCCAUUGCCCCCUUGCCGUAAAACACCCUUUAUUUUUUAAU